rnacentral:piRNA from 1 species
AGCUUGACGGUGCUUAUGCUUAGACAU